rnacentral:lncRNA from 1 species
UACAUAUUAUUAUUUUUUUCAAUUUACUAUCUAAUUCAAAAUAGUUUAUUAACUAUUAUGCAUGGCACUAAUAUGAAUAAAAUAUUUGUGAAUGUUGAUGGAUUAUAUAGAACCAAACAAUAGAAGUCAUAAAAAUUACACCUUUUUAUUUCACUUUUUUUAAACCAAACAUUUGAACUCAAAAGUGACUUUUAUAAAAAUCACUUUUUAAAAAGUAACUUUUUUCACUUCAAUCACUUACGGACACCCAAACAUGCCCUAAGGACAUUCAGUUUCAAAAAUAAUUGUUUAAA